rnacentral:rRNA from 1 species
AGCGAACGCUGGCGGCAGGCCUAACACAUGCAAGUCGAACGAACCUUUCGGGGUUAGUGGCGGACGGGUGAGUAACACGUGGGAACGUGCCUUUAGGUUCGGAAUAACUCAGGGAAACUUGUGCUAAUACCGAAUGUGCCCUUCGGGGGAAAGAUUAAUCGCCUUUAGAGCGGCCCGCGUCUGAUUAGCUAGUUGGUUGAGGUAAUGGCUCACCAAGGCGACGAUCAGUAGCUGGUCUGAGAGGAUGAUCAGCCACAUUGGGACUGAGACACGGCCCAAACUCCUACGGGAGGCAGCAGUGGGGAAUCUUGCGCAAUGGGCGAAAGCCUGACGCAGCCAUGCCGCGUGAAUGAUGAAGGUCUUAGGAUUGUAAAAUUCUUUCACCGGGGACGAUAAUGACGGUACCCGGAGAAGAAGCCCCGGCUAAGUUCGUG